rnacentral:rRNA from 1 species
GACGAACGCUGGCGGCGUGCUUAACACAUGUAAGUCGAACGGAAAGGCCCUGCUUUUGUGGGGUGCUCGAGUGGCGAACGGGUGAGUAACACGUGAGUAACCUGCCCUUGACUUUGGGAUAACUUCAGGAAACUGGGGCUAAUACCGGAUAGGAGCUCCUGCUGCAUGGUGGGGGUUGGAAAGUUUCGGCGGUUGGGGAUGGACUCGCGGCUUAUCAGCUUGUUGGUGAGGUAGUGGCUUACCAAGGCUUUGACGGGUAGCCGGCCUGAGAGGGUGACCGGCCACAUUGGGACUGAGAUACGGCCCAGACUCCUACGGGAGGCAGCAGUGGGGAAUAUUGCACAAUGGGCGGAAGCCUGAUGCAGCAACGCCGCGUGCGGGAUGACGGCCUUCGGGUUGUAAACCGCUUUCGCCUGUGACGAAGCGUGAGUGACGGUAAUGGGUAAAGAAGCACCGGCUAACUACGUG